ACAGGUUCCUCUUUUGGCUAAGAUCAAGUGUAGUAUCUGUUCUUAUCAGUUUAAUAUCUGAUACGUCCUCUACCCGAGGACUAUAUAUUAAAUGGAUUUUUGGAACAGGGAGUCGGAAAGGGACAGAUAGACACACCGAGAGGACAGUGCAAGGCUAGCCUCCAGUGAGUUUUCCCUCCUUUAUUAUAUAUUUAAAUAUAU
ensembl:snRNA U2 U2 spliceosomal RNA